rnacentral:rRNA from 1 species
ACAUACACCAGAUCGGCGCAGAGAUGCGUUUUCCCUUUGUGGUUGGUGUACAGGUGGUGCAUGGUUGUCGUCAGCUCGUGUCGUGAGAUGUUGGGUUAAGUCCCGCAACGAGCGCAACCCUUGUCUUAUGUUGCCAGCACGUGAUGGUGGGGACUCAUGAGAGACUGCCGGGGUUAACUCGGAGGAAGGUGGGGAUGACGUCAAAUCAUCAUGCCCCUUAUGUCCAGGGCUUCACACAUGCUACAAUGGUCGGUACAACGCGUGUGCGACACUGUGAGGUGAAGCUAAUCGCUCUAAAGCCGGUCGUAGUUCGGAUUGGGGUCUGCAACUCGACCCCAUGAAGUCGGAGUCGCUAGUAAUCGCAGAUCAGCAACGCUGCGGUGAAUACGUUCCCGGGCCUC